GACGAACGCUGGCGGCGUGCUUAACACAUGCAAGUCGAACGGAAAGGCCUCUUUCGGGGGGUACUCGAGUGGCGAACGGGUGAGUAACACGUGAGUAACCUGCCCUUGACUUUGGGAUAACUUCAGGCAACUGGGGCUAAUACCGGAUAGGAGCUCCUGCUGCAUGGUGGGGGUUGGAAAGUUUCGGCGGUUGGGGAUGGACUCGCGGCUUAUCAGCUUGUUGGUGGGGUAGUGGCUUACCAAGGCUUUGACGGGUAGCCGGCCUGAGAGGGUGACCGGCGACAUUGGGACUGAGAUAAGGCACAGACUGCUAAGGGAGGCAGAAGUGGGGAAUAUUGAACAAUGGGUGGAAGGCGGAUGAAGCAACGCCGUGUGCGGGAUAACGGCCUUCGGGUUGUAAAACGCUUUCGCUCAUGACGAAGCUUUGUGUGACGGUAGUGGGUAAAGAAGCACCGGCUAACUACGUG
rnacentral:rRNA from 1 species